UAAAAUUACACGCCCAAACAAGUAUUUGAUGCCUUGGCAGGCCGAUUAUCGUGUCUGCAUUCUCAUAUAUUGAACGUGUGGCACGCGGCUUGCACCGUACUGGAUACUUCCGCAGCCCAACAGCGAAACGAAAUCAGCCCUGCUCGGCUUUUUGUAAAUGAUGCAUUUAUGCCGCGACGUGAUCGGGCAAUACGGACAAGCCUAACAUAUUUUUGUCGAGCGGACGGGGCAGACUAAUUAAAUUCUAAAUUAUGAGCGCUUGUAUUCUCCAUGGCCCCAUAACAAGUACCAGGAAAAUAAAUUAGACGUUGAAAUCAAGGUCGAUGAUCAAUGGUAGUAGCUCACGAUUCUCCUAGACAAUCUAACUCCAUUUUGGCAGCUGUAAUCCAAAUAUAUUCUAUCUUUAUACUCCCAACAGCCCGGCUUUGUCAUGGCUCGGCCUGAAACAACAAAAGAGAUUGGAGAAUUUUAUUAUUUCUAAACCAGGAUCAAAUAAGGACCGUUCAAGAAUGGAGCUUUAGUCGGUAGGUCCCUCCACUCAACCUAGUGGAAGCUAAACAUAAUCCUAGUUUUUUGUAGGGUCUUAAUCAAAGCACCAAUGAGAAAAACGAUACGAUGAUCUCGAUAAAUAAUUCAAGUAAAGACAUUCGUUCCAAUAUCGAGUUGGAAGAACCACAUGAGUAUACGCAAACAACCCCGAAAUCCGCCGCGUUGUAAUGACGACAAAGGGGAGUAAUUAACAACCAAACAUCAACCACAAGCUUUAAGGGGACAGCCAUAGUUAACACGAUUAGACAUUACUUACCUCUCGAUCUAGCAGAACAUUGGACGUCAAGACAAUAUCAAAACCUCAGCUUGGAAAAUCUCCAGUUUUCACAUGCCUUUACUAAAAGGUCGCUUUCAUUACCUCCAUGCAAGAGAUCAUUUUCUGUCCCAAAAAAGAAGAGAUCAUCGGGCAGAGCUACAAUUAAGAACAAAAGACAAGAAGUCUUUUCUCAUCAAAUUAGUUUUACCAGGACUUCAGCAAGGACUCUUCCCACAGAAAGGAAGCUGAAAACCGCCUCGUCUCCGCAAGCUCGCCCACCUGGUGCGCGAGGCGCUUCCAAGGACCCACCAUUUUCAGACCUCCUUCACGCGUGUCGCUCUCUUCUCC
rnacentral:lncRNA from 1 species